GCUUUAGUUAUAAUGUAAUUAAUAAUACUGGAAACAGGGGCCUAGAGAUCCUCUAUGAAACUAAGCAUAGAGGUGACGGAAAAGUUACCACAGGGAUAACUGGCUUGUGGCGGCCGAGCGUCCAUAGCGACGCCGCUUUUUGAUUCUUCGAUGUCGGCUCUUCCGAGCAUGGUGGAGUAUCAGCCACCAAGUGUGUGAUUGUUCACCAACUAACAGGGAACGUGAGCUGGGUUUAGACCGUCGCGAGACAGGUUAGUUUUACCCUACUGCAUCGCGUCCGAGAGUAGGUCGGGGCAGUACGAGAGGAAGUGCCGAUCAGAACCGCUGGUGAUACUUUCGUCUGUUAAGGCGCGAAGUGUAGCUACGUUCUUCUUAUAAUAGCUGAAAGCCUCUAAGCUAGAAUGAGUACUUAAGGACGCAAAGAUAUGAAGACUACAUAUGUAAGGAUGAGGGUUGUACGAUAUAAGCUUCUGCGAGUAUUUCAGACCACUUAUUUCCUUUUUUAGAACAUGCUUGCUC
rnacentral:ncRNA from 1 species